rnacentral:rRNA from 1 species
UUGGAGGGCAAGUCUGGUGCCAGCAGCCGCGGUAAUUCCAGCUCCAAUAGCGUAUAUUAAAGUUGUUGCAGUUAAAAAGCUCGUAGUUGAACUUCGGGGUCUACCCAUUGGUCAGGCUUAAUUGUCUGCACUGGUGAGAUGGAUCUCUACCUUCUGAGGAACUUUCAUGCCAUUUAUUUGGUGUGGUUGGAAAUCAGGACUGUUACUUUGAAAAAAUUAGAGUGUUUAAAGCARACUAUCGUCUGAAUACAUUAGCAUGGAAUAAUGAAAUAGGACGGACUGAUUCUAUUUCGUUGGUUUCUAGGAUCACCGUAAUGAUUAAUAGGGAUAGUUGGGGGCAUUAGUAUUCAAUUGUCAGAGGUGAAAUUCUUGGAUUUAUUGAAGACUAACUACUGCGAAAGCAUUUGCCAAGGAUGUUUUCAUUAAUCGAGAACGAAAGUUAGGGGAUCGAAGACGAUCAGAUACCGUCGUAGUCUUAACCAUAAACUAUGCCGACUAGGGAUCGGACGAAGUUAAUUUUAUAAUGACGCGUUCGGCACCUUACGGGAAACCAAAG